CUCUGUCUCCCUCACCAUCGAGCUCUCUCAGUCUCACCCGUCGUCGCGGCCAGUGUCGUCACCGUCUCGCACUCAGUCGCUGCCUUCGGUGCGCUCGCUUCGCCGGCGGCAGAAGCAGACCGAACCAGCAUCUGAUCCCUCGGGUGGUGGUGGUCGUCGUCUUUUUAUUCGCCCGGCAGUUCAGUGGGUCAGCUUCCUUCACCGUUAAUUGGUCCCUGGGCAGUUGGGAGAAAUGGCUGAAACAUCAACAGCAUCAAAAAGAAGCAUGGGCACAGACAUAAUCAGCAGCCUACCAAACUCGUUGUUGUGCCACAUCCUCUCAUUCCUCCCAACCUUAUAUGCGGUGCGCACCAGCAUCUUGUCUCGACAAUGGCGCCAUCUCUGGAAGGAUCUCCAAGUCUUUGAUUUUGAUGAUACCGAACUCAAUUGGAGCAAUGAGAGAUUCGCGUUGUUUAUCGAUGCAGUUCUAUCCCAGCUCAGGUUUCCCCACAUACGAAAUCUCAGCCUCUCAUGUCAGAGAGGCUUAGAUAACAACAAAGUGAUUGACAAUGCCAUUGACAAUGCCAUUGGAAGGUGGAUACGUGCUGCUGUGGGGCCCUGCCUUCAAGAAAUGAUUCUCUAUUCUAGUUACGGGGAAUUCUAUCCAGACUAUUUUGAUGGAAUAUUCACAUGUGCUUCGCUUGUGUCCCUCACCCUGGGGGGUAAUCUUGUUCUCGAUGUUAUACCUUGGGUUUAUUUGCCUCUACUCAAGGAUUUAACACUCUUGCUAGGAGUCUCUGUUGAACACGACUUCAUAUCUGGCUGCCCUGCUCUUGAAAAUCUUUACAUCGAUUAUUAUGGAAGCCUUUACCCUGAGAUACACUUUCUCUCCACCUCUUUGAAGAGGCUAAGUUUAUUCGAGGUAAGAGAGUUUGAUGAUCCCAUAAUCAGUGAGAUUCAAAUAGACACCCCGAAUCUUGAAUACCUCCGUAUAUUCCUUGCGGGAUCAUGUGUAACGAGUUUGGUUAUCAGUGAUUUUCCCAAGAUAAUGGAAGCUUGUUUGGAGAUUGCUCCCUUGGAUGAGCAUGUUGCUUGGCUACCCAAACUUAUCCAGGCACUCUCCAAGACAAAGAUUUUGGAUUUUGGAUGGUGGACCACCGAGUGCUUGGUUGAAGCUCCGAAUUUACACUUACCAGAAUUUAGCUGCUUACAUGAACUGAGCAUCUGUUAUUCAAAUUUCAAUUCUGGAGUCCUAAUAAAACUGCUUUGCUGCUGCCCUAAGCUUCAACUACUCGGAAUUGAUAUCAAUGGGGUACAAUAUUUUCGUGACCAAACUCCCCAGAGCAGUUGGACACAGCCAGCCAGUGUACCUAGUUGUGUUAUGUCACACUUGAACAUUUUUGAAUUUAGAAGCUACUCAGACUCAUCAGAGGAGCGCGAAUUUUUGGCAUAUAUCUUGCAAAAUGCACUUGUUUUAAAGAGACUCAUAAUUUACGCUAAAAUUGGUUCAUUUGAAAAGGAGGAGCAUAUCCUUAGCGAAAUAUCUGUCUUACCGAGGGGCUCUAGCAUAUGCCAAGUUGAAGCACGUAUCUUAACUAGCAUGGAAGUGUAAACGUGGAAGGGUGGAUUAUGUGAAGUACAAGAAGACUUGACAUUGUGCUUUUGUUCUAUGCAACUUUUAAUUUAAGUAACAUAAACGGAAUCACACCCUUAUUUGAUAGUGGUGGAGUGUCGGUCUCAAGUAAACAAAAAGAAUGGAUUCAAUCGAUAUGGAUAUUUGUAUAAAUUGACCAAGUUAAGAUUUAAUUAGUUACUAAUCUAAUCGUUUUAAAAUGAAGGCAUGCAGUGUAAAUUGAUUAACCUGGACAGAAAGAGAUUUAGGCUCUUGAUGUUGUCUUUUCUAUCUUUGCAAUGAGCUUAUAUACACAACAUAUCCUUCCAACAUCAUGCCCAUGAUGAACCAAAUCCGUAUCAUCAACUGCAAUUUUUCUAGGAAUCUUUUCCAGUACCACCGGUAAAAUUUUCUCGGCCACACUUUCAGAUGUAUAGCAAUAUAGCGU